GAGUGAAGCGGUCACAGCUUAAUCGAAAAUCCUGCGUCUCCCUUGACGUUGGGAAUUGUAGUCUUGGCUUCUGAAUGACGCUGGCUGACGGGUAAUUCGAUGGAAAUCGAGGUCAUAGAGGGUGACAACCCCGUUUUCUGUCGGCGCGGCGUCGUUUUUCAGUUGUCUUCCGAGUAGCGUUCAUUGGGAAUUGAGCGUGAAGCGGGUGGUGAUAUCCAUCCAAAGCUAAAUAUUGGCGAGAGACCGAUAGCGAACAAGUACCGUGAGGGAAAGAUGAAAAGCACUUUGGAGAGAGAGUUAAACAGUAUGCGAAAUCGUUGGAAGCAAGCGAAUCAGUGGGUAGAGCACGGUUCUGCGUUCUGAGCACUCUGCCGUCCGUGAGAGCCUAACAGCUCACCGGUCGGUUUGCCAGCGCUCGGUCGUGGGAUGAGGUUUUGGUGCUCCGCUUCGGCGAACCUUCUGAUCCGACCCGUCUUGAAACACGGACCAAGGAGUCUAAUAUGUGUGCGAGUGUUCGGGUGUCAAACCCCAACGCGCAGGUAACCCAAAUCGCGUUAGUCCUUUUUGGACGCAUCGCGGGUAGUGUGUCUUCCCUAACAAGAGCAGGUAUGUUGGA
rnacentral:rRNA from 1 species